AUUGAACGCUGGCGGCAUGCCUUACACAUGCAAGUCGAGCGGUAACAGGCCUUCGGGUGCUGACGAGUGGCGAACGGGUGAGUAAUGCAUCGGAACGUACCCAGAGGUGGGGGAUAACGCAGCGAAAGCUGUGCUAAUACCGCAUGUGAUCUGAGGAUGAAAGCGGGGGACCGAGCAGCAAUGUUUGGCCUCGCGCCUUUGGAGCGGCCGAUGUCGGAUUAGCUAGUUGGUGGGGUAAAGGCCUACCAAGGCGACGAUCCGUAGCUGGUCUGAGAGGACGACCAGCCGCACUGGGACUGAGACACGGCCCAGGCUCCUACGGGAGGCAGCAGUGUGGAAUUUUGGACAAUGGGCGCAAGCCUGAUCCAGCAAUGCCGCGUGCGGGAAGGAGGCCUUCGGGUUGUAAUCCGCUUUUGGCAGGAACGAAACGGUGUCCGCUAAUACCGGGCGCUAAUGACGGUACCUGCAGAAUAAGCACCGGCUAACUACGUG
rnacentral:rRNA from 1 species